GGGCCGGUAGCUCAGCCUGGAAGAGUGUUCGGUUGGCAUCCGAAAGGUCCCGGGUUCAAAUCCCGGCCGGUCCA
rfam:Metallosphaera yellowstonensis MK1 genomic scaffold MetMK1scaffold_17, whole genome shotgun sequence.